rnacentral:snRNA from 1 species
AUCUUUGGGCUUGGGGCAAUGACGCAGUUAGUGAGGUGAAACCGAGACGCGUCAAUUGCUGGUUGAAACUAUUUCCAUCUUUUUCGCUAUAUUACUGGGGUUCUCCGUGUGUUCUUCUGAUACCACAUAUUGAACAUUGAUGAUUAUUGAGUCCUUCUCACAUCAAUGGGG